GGUUAAGCGACUAAGCGUACACGGUGGAUGCCCUGGCAGUCAGAGGCGAUGAAGGGCGUGCUAAUCUGCGAUAAGCGCCGGUAAGGUGAUAUGAACCGUUAUAACCGGCGAUACCCGAAUGGGGAAACCCAGUGUGACUCGUCACACUAUCAUUAACUGAAUCCAUAGGUU
rnacentral:rRNA from 1 species